rnacentral:lncRNA from 1 species
GGGUAAGAUUCAGCCAACAAUUAAAGGGUAAGAUUCAGCCAACAACUUGUGAUUGGCUCUUUAGCAUUUUAAGCCAUCCAACUCACAGAUUGGCUCUUUAGCAUUUUGUUCAAGUAAACGACGAUUUCCCAGAGCUGCUGCCUUCUUGUUUUGGAGCCUCAGAGGAGUCAAUGUCUAGCGAUUUCGAAAGAGACCCAUCUUUUGAUACUUCUUCAAGAGCCUCACUGAAGUUGUUAUCUUGCAAUUGACAAAGAACAGAAGGCUUUCUCUCGAUAAUCCCAAUUGGUUGAAGACGGCAAUGUGGCAGCGGAAGGAAGCGCCGGUGCUGUGAUGACGGGCUAAAGGCGGCGACGGUGCUGCGAUGACAGGUUGAAGGCGACCCAGAAGGCGAUGAUGAGAAUUCUGGUGUAUGUUCGACGUGAAAAGGGAGGUUUGUACAAACCCAUCAGUUUUGGUGUCUAUGAUAGAAAGUGUUGGAGGGAUACAUGGACUCUAUAGUCCAUAUUGAGGGGGGUGAAUUCAAUUGAGAUUUUUUAGACUUUAAAAGUCUAUGGAUAUUUAAUUAAGAUUUUAAAAAGUGUCUCUAAAUCUUGAGGUAUUCAAUUAAAAUUUUAAAAUAUCCAUUAAAAUCGGCUGGUAUUUAAAACUCCGUAGAUUCUCACGGAUUUCAUUAGUUGUUGGAUUUUGAUGGAUUCUAAAGGGCUAGGUAUAAAUACAAAACUCAUUCUGAAAUCUGGCCACCUCCCUCAAG